CCCCAUACUUCCUCCGAAGCAAGCUCCGGCGUCGUAACAGUGGAUAUCCAAUGGAUAUCCAAAAUAAAUCAUUUGGAAUUAAAAUUUAUAUUUUAUAAUAUGAUAAUAAUAAUUUAUUUACUUAGAUUAUUAAAUUUAUUCAAAGUUAACUCAUGAAAAUAUUUAUUAUUUGUUGCAUCUUGUUUAUACAUGUGAAUAUGUGUCUAUAUAUCCGCGGAUUUCGGGUAACUAUUUCGGUUUUGGGUAUCCGUUCGGGUUUCGGGUAUCCGCGGGUUUGGUUUUGGUGUUGAAUUUCCACCCGAUUUGGUUUCGGUUUUGGUUUCGGGUUUCGACUUCGCGUUUCGGUUUUGGGUGCACGGAGACUCCACCCGAUCCAAACCCAACCUGUUGCCAUCCUUAAAUGGUGCUCUUCCUUCACUUAGUUGUCAGGUUAGUGUGUUGGCUUCAAUGGUGCCUUAAUGAACGAGUGGACAUGGCUAAGCCCCAUUUAUCGCAGCUGGAUAUUAUCUCAAAACAAUUUUGAUCUCAGCAUACUCUUAUAUAUGGCUAACAAAUUUUUAAUUUAAUAUGUCGCUAAUCUCAUUGACAUCGGUUUUAUGUACUCUAAUAUUAGUUUUUAUGUACAGCUUGAUUCGAAAGAUAUGCUACUUCAUGAAGAGCAGAUAGCUAAAGUUCAAGAACACGUCAUUCAGCAGGUGUAUGGUGAUACUGUGCUUGCCGAAAAAAACACUUCAUUUCAGUGUCGAGGCUGGCUGGCUGGCUGCAAUAAGGUAAUAACGUGGACAUUGUCGGAUUCAUGGUUGGAUGACUGUUGUUACCUAUGAAUUCCGUAAUUACUCUCCUAGAUUGAUUUUACGCUUCUAUAGUUUACCUGCUCCUACAUAGCGAUUGCAAGACUAGAUUUCCUUACAAAGCUACACUGAGAUAUUUUUUCCCUGAAAAAGAAAGUUACUCUAGAUGCUUCCUUACACAAAAUGUGUAGCUUUCCCAGUUUUGCUAAUAAAGCUGGUAAAAAGGAUUGAUGUUCUUGUGGUUGGUUUGACACUUUGAAAUUACCACUGCUUUGCAGCAAACAAUAAAGUGUGCAUAAUCGUUCUAUUUUUAUCUUUUAUGUGCUUCAUGAAGACCUAUAUUUGAUCCUGUUCAGCUGAGUGUUGAUGAAUUAUGUACCUUUUUGCCAUAAACACAUAAUUAUCAACAUAAAGAAAGAUAUCGACUGGGACCACCUUGAGUUCAGGAUUUGAGCCACCAAAUUUGUUGUUCUUUCUUUCCAAAAGGUUGUCUUCUCCUAAAUUUUAAUAUCCCACUACAGGCAGGUCAAAAAAAGGGUUGACCGUGCCUACACAAAGCUAUCCAAAGCUAAUACUGACACUGCCAAGUUAAACCAAUGUCCUAUCCCUAUUCAGCUGUAUUUGUAGCCUUUGAACGAUUUGGAAUCCCACUAUUUUGACAUUGUUGACAUCAUACAUCCACAAUAUAAUUCCGUCUUUAAACUAAACCAAAAAAAAGAUCUUUCAGUCCAAACUUACUUCCUCAGUCAGCAUCUAUGUUUUCUUUUAUUUUUACCAGACAUAUCUAUUUGCUUCAUCCACUUUGGGUCUCUUACAUAAAUAAAAUUAUUACAUUCAGUUGCACUACACUUUUACUUUUUCCACUACCAGUGCAGAACAUAGAGCGCCAAUCACCUGUGCCAAAAACUUUCAGAAUGUUGUUGACAGAGGUGGCUGAUUUCAUAUAUGUUCAAAGAUCUGAUCAUUCAUCUAAACCCAUAGAUAUGCAGUUUAUGCUAAAUAUUUAGGACAUCACUUAUGUUUCCAGACGUAGGAAAAAAAUUCUGAAAAAGUUUAUGUAUCCAUAUGAAUUUACUUCAUAUAUUUAGUGACACCUUUCCAACGUGUCUUAACCCUGUGACGAUUCUAUUUUAGUGAUACAGGUAAAAGAAAGCGAUGAAGAAACAUACAUAGACAAGAGCAUCGAACCAACACCCCCUCCCCCCCCCCCCCCCCCCUCUACCACCACCACCACAAAAAAAACCAGCCAUUCCUCAUUAGAUUACACAGCAAAGAGGUGAUUUCGUUGAGCAAUAUAAUACAUACCUAUAUAUUAUAGCACCCAGAACGGAAUAUAAGUUCUGCGCAUUAUGCAGUUUCCAAUACCAAAGUCAUAAAAAGAGAAAAUCCAUGUUGCCAUGCAGGGAAAUAGCAGCAGAAGAACAAGCUUCUCGCAGUAAAAAUAGGUGAGGCCCAAUCACGCUGCCCAUGUAGUCAGAUAUUGCUCACCUAAUAUUAAUUGUAUGCUUCAUGCCUUCAAUUUACUCUGGUUUUCUGAUGUGGUAGUUUUGUGUAUAGUUAGAAUGGGCGGGUCUCUUCUUUUUCACUUGCUCUUUCUUUUCCUACUAAAGUUCCCACGCUGCUCAUUAUCUUUUAAUUUUUUAUUUAUUUUAUUUACAGUACACAAUAUCUCCAGAAUUUUUACUCUCUUAAUAGAUUUAGUGUCUUCGUUCCAUACUACCUAUGAGACUAGAUCUUUUCCUACUAUUAUGACAGAUUUAAUAAGUGUCUUACAUACUCCUCGUGCUACUAACCGUUCUCCUUAUCCUACAACAAGUAUAUGAAACAGCGACAUGGAUCUACCAUUUUGUAACAUGAACAAGCUAUGCUCGGUGCAUAUGACAAGUCCCUAAUCACUUUCCUAUAUCCAGCCUGAUAAAAACAGUAAACUGACCAUCAAUUAUGGAGAAUUCAUCGCUGCAGUUGUGCCUCUUAAGAAAAUAGAACGUGAUGAGCACUUCAUGGCACCUUUUACUUCGACAGAGAUGGCAGUGCUCAGCGAGCUUCUGGAGACCAUAACAUGGACCACACUUUCUUUGAAGAGAUCAUUUAAGAUAUCGAACCAAACAAUGUAAGUUGGUUCUCUUACUUUAAGGACAGUAGUAGUGCAAAAAGAUUUUACCAUCAAUGUGAAUUACUUGGGCUACCUAAACAUGUCAGUCUCAUUCUAGACCGUGCGGUUGCAUUGCACGAAAAUACUACAAUGGUUCCUGACUGGGCUCAUUGCGUCAACCACAUAGUCUUAACUCACAGCUGUUGAUUUCAGCAACCAUAAAGGAUAAAAAAAUGUAAAUAUACUUGCUGACAGACCCUUCACCUUUUGAUCUUCAAUUUACAUGCGACAAUUCUCCUUGCCGAUAAUUCUCCUAUGUUUUUUUUUGCAAUUGACCUGACAAAUAGGCAAUAUAUUAUAGAAAUAUAUGAUCUGCAUGAUACUAUAGAAUUAUAUGACCUGACCAUAGCUGUUAAGAACUUAGGACUACCAAAUACCAACAAGGCCUCUGCUUAGUUCUAUUGUACUACUUCACUAAUGCAUAUGCUCUUGUGUCUGCUUUUCAGGAUGGUCAAAUCGACUGUGCCCCAAGUUCAUAGCGAUAAAACAAAUCAACAAAGUUUGGACUUUGGUGGUAACCAAUGCAAAACACUUGCAAUAUAUAACCUUGACAGGUGCACAUCAAGUACACUGUCAGUGAUGCACUAACCAUGUUCUUCACUUAUUAAUCGAUUAUUCGUCAAGCUCAGUGAAUCAAAUUAUUUAACAGUAUUUAUAUCCCAAAUAAGUGUAGCCUGCCAAGCAAUAUGUAAUUUGUCAUGAGAGUUUGCAGUUUUUACAUUAUGCAAUAAAAAAACAAUUGCCUAUAUUUACGAACUCGCGCGAGGGCGCGUGCCUUCCACUAGUGCAAACACAAAUUCGGUGAUGAAUGAAGCAAACAAAAGCCGGUGCAGACACUUGUGGGCCAUAGCAGUUCUGGUUUCCAUUCUCAAGUCCGAUCCGGGGCCUUGUUUAGUUCGAACUAAAAUAAAAAAAAA
rnacentral:lncRNA from 1 species